CUGCCGUCUCCUGUUACCUUACGCGCGCCGAGGCGCCUAAGUGUACUGGCCGGCCUUCAGCGCUAUUUCGGACGUGGCUGUGAUGCUUUGAACCGUUGGUUUGUCGACCUCGUAAGCCAGUUAAUGUUUACACGGCCAUUUUUUUCUGAGCUGUUGGUUUCUUCCAUAACAGCUACGUAAUUUCGUAGUUUCCUGUUCAACUGCUUUGGUCAUAUGCGAGUCAAGGUUGUUCUCUUUAGCCGAGCGCAGUUUUCGAAAGCGAAACGACGCUUUUGCAUCAGCAUAUAGUGCCGUCGCCCAUUUACAACACAGUCAAUCAAUGUAAUUUUGUAUGUUACUGGGAAACCGCCGAACGCAGGGAACUCACUCGCAUGCGGGGAACUGCAUAACUAGCCACGGGAUUACCGUGCCUCUUGGGAAGCUGCUUUGCAUCAAAGGCCAGACUCCUGCAUCUCUACCAGCCACUACCAAACGCUUGUCGGUACGUCUCUUGGCAAAGGUCCAGACUGAACAUCCCAC